AACGAACGCUGGCGGCAGGCCUCAAACAUGCAAGUCUAGGGGGUGUAGCAAUACAUCACCGGCGGACGGGUGCGUAACACGUGGGAAUAUACCUUUUGGUUUCGGAACAACGCAGGGAAACUUGCGCUAAUACCGAAUGUGCCCUUACGGGAAGAUUAUCGCCAAAGGAUUAGCCCGCGUAGGAUUAGCUAGUUGGUGAGGUAAUGGCUCACCAAGGCUCCGAUCCUUAGCUGUUCUGAGAGGAAGAUCAGCCACACUGGGACUGAGACACGGCCCAGACUCCUACGGGAGGCAGCAGUUGGGAAUCUUGGGACAAUGGGGGAAACCCCGUGAUCCAGCCAUGCCGCGUGAGUGAUGAAGGCCUUCGGUU
rnacentral:rRNA from 1 species